UACGAAGGGGACAAGCGUUGUUCGGAAUCAUUGGGCGUAAAGGGCGCGUAGGCGGACUUGUAAGUCGGUUGUGAAAUCCCUGGGCUUAACCCGGGAAUUGCAUUCGAAACUGCAAGUCUUGAGUUCUCGAGAGGAUGGUGGAAUUCCUGGAGUAGUAGUGAAAUACGUAGAUAUCAGGAGGAACACCGGAGGCGAAGGCGGCCAUCUGGCGAGACACUGACGCUAAGGCGCGAAAGCGUGGGUAGCAAACAGGA
rnacentral:rRNA from 1 species